CUUUUGUCCUCUGGGAGCUUUCCUUGUUUGGUUUUCGUAGUAAAUCUUACUGCUGCUCAGUGUUUGUGUCUGUGCUGCGUUUGUGAGCUGCAACGCUCACGGUAAAGGUCUACAGCUUCACUCCCGAAGCCAGCGAGACUGUAAAUCCACUGGGAGGGGCAAAGAACUCUGGACGUGCUGCAUUUUUAGGAGCUGUGACACUCACCGCGGAGGUUUGCAGUUUCACUCCUGAAAUCAGUGUAGACCACGAACGCACCAGAAGGAACAAACUCCAGACACACCGUUUUUAGGUAACCGUAACAUGUACCGCGAGGGUCUGCGGCUUCAUUCUUGAAGACGAGACUAAGAACCCACCAACUUCUGGACACAAAACCACCCCAAAAAACUUUAUCUUCUAUUCCGUUGGUCUGCCUAUCUAGAAAGCAAAAUUUCAAAUACUGAGACCGAUAGAUGAAGAUGCUUUCGCUUCUUCCCUGUUUCAUCCAGUUGGGGACUAAGUGUCCUUCGGUUUGGACUGUGCAGCUCGGGUCACCUUCUCUGUGGAACAGCAAGUGAAGAAAGAGGCGCAGAGCCCUGUGUUCCAAACCCUGGAGACAAUUGAGAAAGUGGGAACCCAUUAUUCCCCAAGCCCAGCCAGCAAACCUCACCGAUGAAACAGAUAAGCACUUCCUGCAGGUGGGGCCGACACUGGCCAGGACACAGCCCUCUCUCUCACAGCAGUGUUCCAGGUUGUUUGUGCACAAAAUUUCACAAAGGUCAGAGCUCGUCUCUCCAAACCGAUGAGCUUUGCGGUUAACCUGAAUUCACUGAACUGGGAUUUAUUAUUAUUAUUCUAUUUUACCUCUAACAGAAGUUUAAGGUUCGUGUAAGUUUCGUUCCUCUCUGAUUGUAGGGGAGACGCCCAGAGCGCCAUUUGGAGGAGAGAACCUGGCAUCCUUUCCUUACCUUGAUUUCAGGUACCCAGCUCCUAGCAAAUGUGUCUUCCUCCCAGGGUUCUUUGGGGUAAAGAAUUUGGUGAGAAGGAGCUGAAUGUUAUGGCUGCGUUUCUCAGCCACUUGCUCGGAGCCAAGCAUCCUCUCACCCUUUCUUUCAACUGGUAGCCAGAAAAUACGGGUUGAGCAUCAGGGAUUCUCAACCGUGUCAAGCUCCAGCCCUGCCUGUUGUGACAGACGUUUCCUGAUGCCUGUUGCUCUCUGGAAUGAAGGUCAUGGGCAGUAUUACCCACACAGCCAUUCAAAAUCAGUCGGCUUCGUGACCUGUUGUGAAAGGAUGGCGAUUGCCGUGCCAGCACGUGACAUGGACUCGGAUGCCUGCGCACACAGGUGCACCUUCCAGAAGGUGAGGUCAGCCCGAGCGCCCACCGCCAUGUGAGUGCGCUGCUGCAGUGACCAGUUGCUGGAAUGUUCUGAACAGAGCCCAGUGCCACCCACUUUGAUGUGCGCUAUUGUUA
ensembl:lncRNA LINC01511 long intergenic non-protein coding RNA 1511